rnacentral:rRNA from 1 species
UACGUAGGGGGCGAGCGUUGUCCGGAAUUAUUGGGCGUAAAGGGCUCGUAGGCGGUUUGUCACGUCAGGAGUGAAAACUCGGGGCUCAACCCCGAGCCUGCUUCUGAUACGGGCAGACUAGAGGUAUGCAGGGGAGAACGGAAUUCCUGGUGUAGCGGUGAAAUGCGCAGAUAUCAGGAGGAACACCGGUGGCGAAGGCGGUUCUCUGGGCAUUACCUGACGCUGAGGAGCGAAAGUGUGGGGAGCGAACAGG